rnacentral:rRNA from 1 species
UACGAAGGGGGCUAGCGUUGAUCGGAAUUACUGGGCGUAAAGCGCGCGUAGGCGGAUAUUUAAGUCAGGGGUGAAAUCCCAGAGCUCAACUCUGGAACUGCCUUUGAUACUGGGUAGCUCGAGUAUGGAAGAGGUGAGUGGAAUUCCGAGUGUAGAGGUGAAAUUCGUAGAUAUUCGGAGGAACACCAGUGGCGAAGGCGGCUCACUGGUCCAUUACUGACGCUGAGGUGCGAAAGCGUGGGGAGCAAACAGG